UGGCUCAGCUGUGAGAUAUGUUUGAUAUUCUUGGUUGUGCCUGUAAUCCAGCCAGGAGUCAGACAUAUUCCCACAGAGGGUGCCA
rnacentral:pre_miRNA from 1 species